UACAAAAGUCCAGGCUUGGGUGAUAAGGGC
rnacentral:piRNA from 1 species